AUGAAGGAAGGAGACGUGGGGGGGACUGGACCACCUGCCCUCCUGGAGAAAACUCAGAUCCGAAAAUUGAGACCUUCGUGCCGCGGAGACUGCACCCGGCGGCUCGGCAGCCGUAAGCGCUCUGGAUAUCCUUUGGAUUACCAUGAGAAAAAGAGAAAGAAGGAAGGUCGAGAGGCUCAGGAACGUUCAAAGAAGGCAAAAAAGAUGAUUGGUCUGAAAGCUAAGCUCUACCAAAAACAGCGCCAUGCUGAGAAAAUACAAAUGAAAAAGACUAUUAAGAUGCAUGAAAAGAGAAACACCAAACAGAAGAAUGAUGAAAAGCCUCCACAAGGAGCAGUACCUGCAUAUCUACUGGACCGAGAGGGACAGUCUCGAGCUAAAGUACUUUCCAAUAUGAUUAAACAGAAAUGAAAAGAGAAAGCGGGAAAAUGGGAGGUCCCUCUGCCCAAAGUUCGUGCCCAGGGAGAAACAGAAGUAUUAAAAGUUAUUCGAACAGGAAAGAGAAAGAAGAAAGCCUGGAAGAGGAUGGUUACUAAAGUCUGCUUUGUUGGAGAUGGCUUUACUCGAAAACCACCUAAGUAUGAAAGAUUCAUUAGGCCAAUGGUUCCUUAUAAUUACUGA